rnacentral:misc_RNA from 1 species
GAAAUGCGAUAAGUAAUGUGAAUUGCAGAAUUCUGUGAAUCAUCGAAUCUUUGAACGCACCUUGCGCUCCUUGGUAUUCCUUGGAGCAUGCCUGUUUGAGUAUCAUGAAAUCUUCAAAGUAAAUCUUUUGUUAACUCAAUUGGUUUCUACUUUGGUAUUGGAGGUCUUUGCAGCUUCACACCUGCUCCUCUUUGUUCAUUAGCUGGAUCUCUGUGUUAUGCUUGGUUCCACUCGGCGUGAUAAGUUAUCUAUCGCUGAGGACACUGUAAAAGGUGGCCAAGGUAAAUGCAGAUGAACCGCUUCUAAUAGUCCAUUGACUUGGACAAUACUUUUAUGAUCUGAUCUCAAAUCAGGUAGGACUACCCGCUGAACUUAAGC